GACCUCCUGGCGCAAUGGCAGCGCAUCACAUGGACGUUGAAUCUGCCCCCCUGUGAGCGUCCUCAUGGGGCGGGCAACUCACGAUGGGGAGAUCCAGGUUCGAGUUCGAGUCCUGGGGAGGUCA
rnacentral:tRNA from 1 species